rfam:Myotis brandtii contig209888, whole genome shotgun sequence.
GGCAGUUCUCAGGUGAUGCACCCCGGAAUCGGGCUCCUUCCUAUCUGGUUCCGGGUGCAUCACCUAAGAACCGUA